AGCCAUUUAUUAUUUCAAUUUGAACAUACAUAAUCAACCUCAAUAUGAGUUUAUUUUCUUCCUCACAGAUACAAAAUCUGAUGAGUUUGAGUGUUACAAAAUAAUAAAAUCAUCAAACAUAUUAUAUAGUCACACUACGCAAAACAACAGUUUCAAUGGUAAGUCCAGGUCCAAAACCGAAUAGCACACCCCAUGGGUCCAAAACCGAAUAACACACCCCAUUCGAGUCCUUCACCCGUGGUGUUGAGUCCACCUUGAGCUGAUUUCUUUCUCAUUUCAUCUAGGAUGAAUAGGACACAUGCACUAGACAUGUUACCAUAUUCACUUAGCACUUCUCUAGUGGCCCUCAUCUUUUCAGGUUUCAAGGCCAACUUCUGCUCAACCUGGUCAAGAAUUGCUGGGCCGCCUGGGUGUGCAAUCCAAAAUAUUGAGUUGUAAUCAGAUAUGCUUAGCGGUUGGAAGGCCUCGAUUAGUGCUUUCUCAAUGUUCUUUGAAACAAUCCCGGGAACAUCUUUAAGGAGAUGAAAGGUCAAUCCAACUUCACGGAGAUGACCAUCAAUGGCUCCUUCACUAUCUGGAGCAAUAGUUUGCGCAGUCCAUACUAGCUCGAACAAAGGUUUCUCAAUUUCAGGCAAUGGAUCAGAACCAACAAUGAGUGCAGCUGCUCCAUCUCCAAACAAUGCUUGCCCAACAGGGCUGUCUAGGUGAGUGUCACUAGGGCCACGAAAGGUAACUGCAGUGAGUUCAGAACAAACAUCUAGCACACGAGCACCUUUGUUGUUCUCAGCCAAGUCUUUGGCCAAACGAAGCACCGUGCCACCUGCAAAGCACCCUUGUUCCUUUUCACAUAAGGGCGAAGACCUAAGAGUUUGGUGAGUUGAUAAUCAGCACCGGGCAUGUCCACACCACUUGCGGUGCAAAAUAUUAAGUGGGUAAUCUUGGACUUAGGUUGACCCCAUUCUUUAAUAGCCUUUACUGCUGCUUCUUUACCCAGUCUAGGUACUUCUACAACCACCAUGUCUUGCCUAGCAUCCAGAGAAGGUGCCAUAUAAGCGCACAUGUUAGGGUUCUCUUUCAAAAGAUCUUCAGUUAAGUGCAUGUAUCUCUUCUUGAUCAUAGACUUGUCACCUGAAAUCAAUUAUAGAGAAACAACAUUAGUACAAUAAAAUCAACAUAGUAGUAGAAUCAAUCUGAUAAUUAAUGACUAGUCUGUCAAACAAUAUAAAUAUAUGUUAGAAUAUAGAAAAAACUGGAGAGACCAAGAGAAGAAUGCUUACACAUGCGUUGAAAUUUCUCCUUGAGCUCAGUUUUGUGCUGACUGUUGGUGACUCUGAAGUAGAAAUCAGGGUAAGUGCUUUGAUCAACACAGUUGGGAGGAUUAGCAGUGCCAAUAGCAAAGAUGGUUGCUGGGCCUUCAGCCCUCUGAGCCUUACGAAUCUCAGCUACACUCACCAUAUUUGAAAUGAAGUUUGUUGGGAAAGAUAUAAAUUUGGAAAGCAAAUGAAGAAGCAAUGGAAGUUGGUGUUAGAGAAGGUUGAGUGGGGAGAUAGGAAUUUAUAUGCGGAGUGAUUGAAGUGGUAGCUGAAGUUCACGAACAUUUUUUAUUCCACGAUUUCUUUGUUUCCUUGUCUGGUCAAUGGCUGGCGUGCGCGGUCUAUGACCUUAAGAUUACCAAGUUAGGUGGAAAAUACCGGAGGAUCGAUGGCUUUCAAUUUCAAGUAUUAAGACCCACCCACUCUUAUGAAGAUAAAUUAUGUUAAGAUCAAAACUAAACAUUUAUGUAUUACGAUAAUAUACAAAUAAAUUAGGUAAAUUCUGUGGUACCCUCAAUUUUUUUGGGUAUGGUACCCCCAUUAAAUAAUUCUAUAGAUUAUUAUCAUGUUAUUCAAGGUAAUACUACAUCUUUAGAUUUCACUUUAUUUGUCAAUUAACUUUAUCUCAUGAAAUUAAUUUUUUGAUGAAAAAUGUACGAGUGGUGGAGUUGAUGGAUGCACAAAGCUCAGAAAACACAAUUUUCAAAUCUCAAGUGCCUAAGAAUGGAACGCUGCAUUACUACAAUAGAACACAAGCAAAAUUUUAACCGAUACAUGAGCCUUUAUUGUUAAACCGACUCAUUUUGAGUACCACACCUUAGACUGGCUUAAGGUAUCACAGUAAGCCCCAAGAAAUUAAGCAAACAUAAUAAAAACACCGGUGACUAUACUUUAUACUUGUUUGAGUUCAAAGAAAUCACUGUAGUUGUUAUUAUUAAACUAGCAAGGGCCAAAGGAAAUGUACAUGUUUUUUUUAAAUAGCGUAAAAAAUAAAAAAAUUACUUUAAAAACAAUUUACAAACAUGAGAUAGUUGUGGAGUGAAACUGGUUCUUUCCGACGGAAAAUUAAAUCCGUCACAAAAUAUUUGACUGAAGAACUGAAAUAUUCAGUAAGAAGAGAGAAUUAGCGACGGAAAAUUAAAUCUGUCACUAAAUACAACUUUUCCGUGUAAAACGCUUCUGUGUCUACUUGGGACGGAUUUUUACCCUCACAAAAUUCCGUCGCUAAAUCUUAUUUUCUUAUCAUGUUCCGUAAGUUUAGCGAGGGAAAUGAAUCCGUCUCGAUUUAGCGACGGAAUAGCUUUAAUGGUCAUGCUGUCAUUUUAACCAUCUGUGCCGGUUUUUGCGACGGAAUAUUUCCUUGUAAAAUAUUUCGUCGCUAAUUAGACAGUUUAAGUCAGCUUUUUGUGACAGAUUUAUUUUCCGUCGCAAAUUACCAAUAAAGUAAAUUAUGCUUCUUGUAAAUCUCCAGUAAUAGAGGUGAACCAAAUAAUAUGCUUGCCCCACUUGUAAAUCAAGUUUCUGAUCUAUAGCUCAUGCAAGUUUAAUAUAAGAAGUAACUUCAACCCAGGCAAUUAACAGUAAAAUCUAAGCUUUCAAUUUGAGGAAACUAAGCAAGCCUAACUAACCCAUUCUGAGAAAGCGGAUCCGAGCCAACACUUCAGACUCAAUCUGCCUUGGUGUAGCUGUUAUCACCUACUUAAUUUAUUAGAAAGACUAGCUAACAUCUCCAGUAGAAAAAUAUGUAUGAAAAAAAUGAAAAAUGGAGUAACUCAAAGAUCAAGAAUUGAUGAGCACUCUUGUUUUGAAGCUAUCAGAAGUUUGACUGUUGUUUCUCCAAGCUAAAUCUGCAUUAGAAGGGAAAAACAUAUUAUGAUAGACUCUUGGAGGUUUCUACUAACUAUAGGUGGGUAGAAGCACUGAUAAACAAACCUGAUAGUUAUUUGGGCCAUCAUGAACCAGUCCAAGCAUCACCAGUGUAUGGUCUAGCACAAUCAUUUGGGCAGCCAAUUACCCUUUUAAGUUAUAAACACAGACUCUUAUACUUCAAACCAACCUAAAUUGCAAAGUGAGAAUUAAAAAGUGUCCUGAUUAGUGAUCUCCACCAAAUCAAUAUUGUAAUUUAUGUCAAUACUGACUUUCAUCUGAAACAAUAAACAUCACAAAUCCGCUCAACAAUUUCUUUAAUGACUUGCGCUCAGCAUGUAUCACCGUGUUUGAUAUCCAGUUAAUGAAUGAGCUAUCCUGUUUAGCAUAGGAUUUGGAACCAGAUUAUCAGAAGUUUCUUCAACGUGCUUUUUAUUCCCUCUUUUACUCCCAAGCAUCAACUGUCAUUGAAAGUUAGGUCUCUUCUUACUUUGGGAAAAACUCAGUACUGUUAUAGAUUUCAACACUUGACUGGCUGUCACUCUCCUCCAUUUACAUCACCGUCUGAUAAGGACUUUUCCUUGCCCUUGUUUCUUGACAUAUAAAUUCAGCUAUUACAAGGAGAAUGCAUAACUGGAAAUUUUUUAACACAUAGUAGCAUGAUUUUACUGUCCAGGAAUUUGUUUUUAAUCUCAUUGACUGGAUUCUUAUCCCUGCAAGACUAAGAGACACAAAAGGUACUGAGGCAAGGAUUAGAAGGGGUUAGCCUCUCUUGGUGCUAUAGGAGCCUUUAUGGAUAACUGUUCAAUAAGUCUAAGACCAGCAACCUAACAUGCUAACUGUGAUAUUGAAGGAUGUAAAAAAUAAUCAACAUGUCAAACAUGCACUUGACAAUAAAAUAAGGGUCACAUGUUUUCCAAACAAUGAUACAUAAACAUAUAUUCAGUUUUGAAACAAAUGAAAAAAAGCAAUUAGCCAUUCAUUAUUUUGAUUUGAACAUACAUAACCAAACUCAAUAUGAGUUUAUUUUCUUCCUCACAGAUACAAAAUCUGAUGAGUUUGAGUGUUACAAAAUAAUAAAAUCAUCAAACAUAUUAUAUAGUCACACUACGCAAAACAACAGUUUCAAUGGUAAGUCCAGGUCCAAAACCGAAUAACACACCCCAUUCAAGUCCUUCCCCAGUGGUUUUGAGUCCAUCUUGAGCUGAUUUCCUUCUCAUUUCAUCUAAGAUGAAUAGGACACAGGCGCUUGACAUGUUACCAUAUUCACUUAGCACUUCUCUAGUAGCUCUCAUCUUUUCUGAUCAAGAAUUGCUGGGCCGCCUGGGUGUGCAAUCCAAAAUAUUGAGUUGUAAUCAGAUAUGCCUAGCGGUUGGAAGGCCUCGAUUAGUGCUUUCUCAAUGUUCUUUGAAACAAUCCCAGGAACAUCUUUAAGGAGAUGAAAUGUCAAUCCAACUUCACGAAGGUGACCAUCAAUGGCUCCUUCACUAUCUGGAGCAAUAGUCUGUGCAGUCCAAACUAACUCAAACAAAGGUUUCUCCGGAUCAGAACCAACAAUGAGUGCAGCUGCCCCGUCUCCAAACAAUGCUUGUCCAACAAGGCUGUCUAGGUGAGUGUCACUAGGGCCACGGAAGGUAACUGCAGUGAGUUCAGAACAAACAACUAGCACACGAGCACCUUUGUUGUUCUCAGCCAAGUCUUUAGCCAAACGAAGCACCGUGCCACCUGCAAAGCACCCUUGUUGGUACAUCAUGUACCUUUUCACAUACGGGCGAAGACCUAAGAGUUUUGUGAGUUGAUAAUCAGCACCGGGCAUGUCUACCACACUUGUGGUGCAAAAGAUUAAGUGGGUAAUCUUGGACUUAGGCUGACCCCAUUCUUUGAUAGCCUUGACAGCAGCUUCUUUGCCUAGUCUAGGUACCUCUACGACCACCAUGUCUUGCCUAGCAUCCAGAGAAGGUGCCAUAUAAGCGCACAUGUUGGGGUUCUCUUUCAAAAGAUCUUCAGUCAAGUGCAUAUAUCUCUUCUUGAUCAUUGACUUGUCACCUGAAAUGAAUUACAAAGAAACAACAUUAGUACAACAAAAUCAAUCUGAUAAUGACUAGUCUGUCUAGCAAUGUAAAUGAAUGUUAUAUAGAAAAAAAAAAUGGAGCUAGAGAGAAAAAUGUAGAAUGCUUACACAUGCGCUGAAAUUUCUCCUUGAUCUCCGUUUUGUGCUCACUGUUAGUGACUCUGAAGUAGAAAUCAGGAUAGGUGCUUUGAUCAACACAGUUAGGAGGAUUAGCAGUGCCAAUAGCGAAGAUGGUUGCAGGGCCUUCGGCUCUUUGAGCCUUACGAAUCUCAGCAACACUCACCAUCUUCAAAUUCUUUGUUUCUGAAAAUAGGUUUGUAAGCAAAGAAAUAUGGAUAGCAAAUAAAGCAGUGCAAUUUGAGCUAAGUUGCAGUAGUUGUUGUUGGUUGUGUAAGAGAGUUGUGGUGUGGAAACUUGUGUGAGGAGAAGGGAAUUUAUAUGUGUGGUCCGUGCGAAGGUUGAUUUUUGAGUUGAGUGUGGUAGCUGAGCAUCACGUGCUGACUACUAUUUUCAUUCUUUCUUUAUUCAACAAUCAGUGACUAUGUUUGGUCAAUGGCUGGCUUGGCUUGGCUGCGCAGUCAUAACCUUCCGAAGUUUGGUGGAAAAUACCUCAAUAAUGAUUCCUAAAAGUCUAAAACCAUAGGUUUGGUGCUGACUACUAUUUUUAUUUUUUAUUAAAUAAAAUUGUAAAACUGUUAAAUGCCUACCAAACACAUUUAUACUUUACCUGGAAAAAAUACUCUGGUAGUCAUAUUCCCAUAACCGUAAGUGUUAUUAUGAGGAAUAUGCUAUUGAAUACAUUUACUUUACGGUUACUGGCCAUCACAAUAUACUUCACAUAAUCUCAUAUGGUCAAACAAACUCUCUAUAUGGUACUGGCAUCGCAAUAUGUUAUUGAAUACAUUUACUUUACCAUUACUUAAGUAUGUGUUUGAAUUUCAGUUAGCAUCAUCGAUAACAAAACCUAAGUGUGUUUGGAAAACUCUCCAACAUUAUUUUCCUAUAAUUUUUUAUGUAUGAAAAUAUGAGAAAAACUAUAUAACCUAGUGAUAGCUUUAUUUUUGUUUGUGACACAGUCAAUUACCAGCUGUUUCUUUUAGAUUGCCAGAAGCCCAGAACCAUAGGUGCCAAAACUUGAUUUAUGGUGAUUUUCCACUAACCGCUGGUACAGGGCGCCAGAAAUUGUGUUUCAUUUACCGGUGACACAAAGCCGCCACUAUAUAGGUCACCACAAGAUGUAUUUACUGGCAGUUUCAGACCCACAAUCUGUACAAUAAAUUCCACAUAAAUCUUGCAGUCCACCACUGAGUGACAAUUCUUAAUUUCUUUGUUGUUCUAUUCAUACAUUGUCUUUCAAACUCAAAAUAUACUGAUGAAAGAUAGCUCUAAUGAUCUUACUAGGCUUUUGGAAGUAGAAAAUAAGAUUAUUCUGGAUAUUAAAACCCAGCAUUGUACUAUCCACUUUCCAAGCCAAAUCCUUACCCUAAUGUCUCCUGAAUAAAUAAGAACUACAGGAGACCAAAUCCAGCAAGCACACUGAAUUUUAAUAUUUAUUUUGAAAAAUAAGGACUACAGAAGGAGACCAAAAUAACCAGGGAAACUGGAGAAACUAAAGGAACAGUCAGUUUGACUCUCUUUAUAUUGCAUACCUCUACUUGUAUCAAAUAUUUUAGUCUAUGUGGAUGACAUAAGAGUUACUGGUGACUCUCUUAAAGUGAUGCAGCUGAUUGUUGACAGGUUGAAUUCUGAGUUUGCAUUGAAACAGCUUGGCCAAUUGGAUUAUCUUUUGGAGGUUCAAGUUUAGCAUUUGAAAGAUGGAUCUCUACUAUUAGGAUAAUCCAAGUAUAUCCAUGACUUGCUUGAGAGGGUUGUUAUGUCUGAAGCAAAAGAAAUUAGUACACCAUGGAAUCAUUGGUUGCCCGAUCCAGUACAGAGGCAGAAUAUAGGAGUCUCGCAAAUACUGUAGCUGAAUUACUCUGGGCUCAGUCAUUGCUCACAGAAUUGAAAAUUCAUUUUCAGACUCUAAGGGUAUACUGUGAUAAUAUGAGUACAAUUGCCCUAACUCAUAAUCCAGUUCUACACUCCAGAACUAAACAUAUGGAGUUGGAUACUUUUUUUGUUCAGGAAAAGAUUCUAAACAAGAGUUUAAUUGUUGAGCAUGGCACAUCUCUUGAUCAAAAGGCUGAUAUUCUCGCCAAAGCACUGUCUCCUAUUCAUUUUUCAGCUUUCACGCACAAACUCAAUGUGGUUGACAAGUUUGCUUUCUAACCUUGAGUUUGAGGGGGCAUAUUAGAGUGUUAUCUUUAGUUCUACACUGUUAUGGUUCAGCUGUUCUGUUAGACUACUUGGUUUUCUACACUGGUAUCUUUCAGAUUGAUUAGUUUGUAAUAGUUAGCUUCUCUAAGAAGCUAAACUCUGCAGUUCUAUAUAAACAAAACUCAUCUUGAACUCAGCAAGCUUUUCAGUUAAUACAAAUCUGAAACAGAUUCAUAGAAGAGUUUUUUUUCCAAACUUGCAUUAUGGGGCUUGAUGCUGAAUAGAAGAGUUUUUUUCCAAUACACAUCCCAGUCAAUAUUGUAAAAUACAUAAAACUCUCAUAUCAGAAAAGUUUACACUGAAACAAAUUCCACACAACCGAAAUGUCAUGCCAUCAGAUAACUGAAACUGAUUAAAAGCAGAAAAAUUAAAUAAUUACAUAGAUAUAUUAGUAUAUUACCAACGAUAGAGAGACAAACAAAGCCAAAUUCAUUUUUUUUCCAAAUUUUAAUUGUCUGUAAACCACAAGAAAAUAUUCAUACUCAAAUAUUAGAAGGUACACUGAAACAUUCAUCAGGACAUAAACUAAAGAAAGGGUACAAUCUUUAGAAGGCUGAGCUUCAUUCUCAUAUGGCUGCAAAUCUCUUUCCACUGAUGCAAGUCGAUGAUGCUGUUACAAAAAUGUUGAGUAGCAAUUGUAACACAUAAAUUUGCAAAAGGAUGAAUGACCCAUGAAGAAGUAAGAAGCAAGAAUAGGCAUUAGACAGUAUGUAUUAACAAUAAGCAAGAAAUCAUGCAGUUGACAUAAAUUCAUGAAACCAUUUCACUUUUGCAUAAAAAGUUGAUCCAAGAUUCAUGUUAAUCUAAAAACAAUAAACCACGUUAUAUAGCAUAAUUGUAUUUUAAAAAGUUGCAUAUUCCACACAAACGACCAACACUCACACUAACGAAAAUGUAAUACAUGCAUAAUUAAAUUAAAGAGAGUCAUUCCUGCCAAUUUUAAUUAUAAUAAAAGGAUCAACUACAAUUUUUUGCAGAAAAUCAAGGAUCAGAACAUUUCAACCAAGAGAAAGGACCACGAAACAAAUGUACAACCUCAAUAAGUACGUUAUAAAUGACUGUAGCAUGGAGCCAUGAGCACUUCAGUAUUUGAUGAAAUUUCUAGUAUCAGGCACCAUAAGGAUAAUAAAACCAGCAAAUGAACAGAAAGAUGAGGAUCAUUAAUUAAACAUAUCAAAUCAAUGUUAUUGAGCCUGGGCAUGGUGAAUCUGAACUGAAGAAAGCAACUCGGGCCUCUCAGUCAGGUCUUAGGCCUGAGUAAGAUUUCUUCUGCCUUCUCAGAAGCCAAUAUAGCUUGGGUAAAAAAUGACUCAAUGAGAAAUCUAUAUGUAUCAAAUCUAACAGGUGAACUGUAAAGGGCUACCUUUUGAGGUUGGUUGGAACAAAGUAGAGAAAAAAGCAUUUCUCUGGUCUCUCUCAUAAGUAUAUUGCCCAGCAAAAAGAAAAGGCUACAGUGCUACACUUAGGUAAUACUUAAAACAAUUCAACCUGAAUAAUACUUCCACAGACAAAGUGAGAUUCUUCCAAUUAAGCAAACACUCACAAAAUAAGAUAAUAAAGCAUAGUUUUUACCUUCCUCUUCUUUAGGACAAGAUCCAAGCACCAGCAGCCUCUGCCACAACCAAGAAGGAAAUUAACUUAAAUAGGUAAAAGCAUCCAAAAUGAAUCGAUAUUUUAUCAGCUUAGAAUUCAAAAUGAAUACAAUGAUAAAAGCAGCAUACGAAACUGAAGCAGAGUGGUGCCAAUCAAGUGUAGAUGGAAAUACCAAAUGAACACCAUAUCCAUGUCUUAUAGAAAUACUUGUAAUUUCCCUGCUGCUACCUCAGCUACGAUGAUAGCAAGGAGCUAUUUUCUAUGGGAAUGAUCAAUUCUCAGUGGCUUAUUCUGUCUACAACCAAACCAAGACCACUGAUUUUCGGCUAUCAGAUUAAAAAUUGUUGAGUUAUGUAAUCAAACACUUCAGUGUAACUGAUGAAGCUAUUCAAAAUGAAACACUACAUUGUAAAGGAUGCAUUAAAAAAAUAGAAUAAAGCUACUAACCAUUCAUUAAUUUAAUUUGAACAUACAUAACCAAACUCCAUAUGAGUUUAUUUUCUUUCUCAAAGAUUCAAUACAGAAUCUAGUGAGUUUGUUGAAGUUACAUAAUAAAUAAAACAAUCAGGCAUAUUAUAUAGCCACACUACGCAAAACAACGGUUUCAAUGGUAAGUCCAGGUCCAAAACCGAAUAACACACCCCAUUCAAGUCCUUCACCAGUGGUUUUGAGUCCAUCUUGAGCUGAUUUCCUUCUCAUUUCAUCUAAGAUGAAUAGGACACAUGCACUUGACAUGUUACCGUAUUCACUUAGGACUUCUCUAGUGGCCUUC
rnacentral:lncRNA from 1 species